rnacentral:rRNA from 1 species
ACGAACGCUGGCGGCAUGCCUAACACAUGCAGUCGAACGAAGGCUUCGGCCUUAGUGGCGCACGGGUGCGUAACGCGUGGGAAUCUGCCCUUAGGUACGGAAUAACUCAGGGAAACUUGAGCUAAUACCGUAUAAUGACUCCGGUCCAAAGAUUUAUCGCCUGAGGAUGAGCCCGCGUAGGAUUAGCUAGUUGGUGAGGUAAAGGCUCACCAAGGCGACGAUCCUUAGCUGGUCUGAGAGGAUGAUCAGCCACACUGGGACUGAGACACGGCCCAGACUCCUACGGGAGGCAGCAGUGGGGAAUAUUGGACAAUGGGCGAAAGCCUGAUCCAGCAAUGCCGCGUGAGUGAUGAAGGCCUUAGGGUUGUAAAGCUCUUUUACCCGGGAUGAUAAUGACAGUACCGGGAGAAUAAGCCCCGGCUAACUCCGUGCCAGCAGCCGCGGUAAUACGGAGGGGGCUAGCGUUGUUCGGAAUUACUGGGCGUAAAGCGCACGUAGGCGGCUUGUAAGUUAGAGGUGAAAGCCCGGGGCUCAACUCCGGAAUUGCCUUUAAGACUGCAUCGCUAGAAUUGUGGAGAGGUAAGUGGAAUUCCGAGUGUAGAGGUGAAAUUCGUAGAUAUUCGGAAGAACACCAGUGGGCGAAGGCGACUUACUGGACACAUAUUGACGCUGAGGUGCGAAAGCGUGGGGAGCAAACAGGAUUAGAUACCUGGUAGUCCACGCCGUAAGCGAUGAUGACUAGCUGUCGGGGCGCUUAGCGUUCCGGUGGCGCAGCUAACGCGUUAAGUCAUCCGCCUGGGGAGUACGGCCGCAAGGUUAAAACUCAAAGAAAUUGACGGGGCCGCACAAGCGGCGGAGCAUGUGCUUUAAUUCGAAGGCAACGCGAAGAACCUUACCAUGGGUUUGACAUGUAGGAAAGGUCCAGAGAUGAUCCGUGUCCCUUCGGGGCCCUACACAGGUGUGCAUGGCUGUCGUCAGCUCGUGUCGUGAGAUGUUUGGGUUAAGUCCCGCAACGAGCGCAACCCUUGUCCUGUAGUUGCUACCGGUUAGUGCCGGCACUCUCAGGAGAACUGCCGGGGAUCAAGCUCGGAGGAAGGUGGGGACGACGUCAAGUCCUCAUGCCCUUAGCCAGGGCUACAAACAGUGCUACAAUGGCCGGUACAGAGGGCUGCUAACCUCGCGAGAGGGACGCGAAUCUCCUUAAAGCCGUCUCAGUUCGGAUUGUAGUCUGCAACCUCGAGCGCAUGAAGGCGGAAUCGCUAGUAAUCGCGGAUCAGCCACGCCGGGUGAAUACGUUCCCAGGGCCUUGUACACACCGCCCGUCACACCACUGGAAGUCGGUAGACACCGAGGCUAGGUGAGCUAACCCGCAGAGGGGGAGCUUCGAAACGGUGGUAUCGGCGACUGGGGUG